ACGGGAGCCACCUGGAGCCUCAGACCCACUGUCUCAGGUGGACCAAAGCUCUGAUGCUUUUGUGAAACUCCCAAGAUGAUACAGUUUACUGACAAGUCAUUUGAAAACACAGUCCAGUUUGAAGUUGCUGAUGACUCCAGAGCCUAAGGGGCUGGACUCUCCUUGGAGGCUGAACUGGGGCUGCCCUCCUUCCAGCCACCAUCAGGCAGAGCUGCAGGCUCCACAGGGUAGCCACCUGCCCACCUCUGAAGUCUGUCUGCACAGGGAGACCCAGGCUCCACAAUCAGCUAUGACACCUGCGUAUGUAGACAGUGUGCAUUUCAGAGCAUGUUACGGGGUGCAGCUAUGUGCCUGGGGGUGCUGCUUCACACCAUCUGAGCCUCUGUUCCUCAAGUGGCCAAGGACACUUCAAAUCUUCCCUGCCUCGUGGUUUGAGUGUGGGCACCCGUGACAAGCGUGGGCCAGCCUGCACUUGGCAGGAGCCUCAGGUGGGAUGAAUGGGGCUGGCCACGAAGCACUCUGUGGAGUCUGAUCUGGAGGAGCUGGAGGCGCUUUCCUCUCAAGGCUGUGACCUACUGUCCGGCGCCCACCUUCCACGUGCCCUGUGUACCAUACACACGCCGGACACACCCUCGCCCUGCUCAGCAAGCACACACCUGGUGUCUCACCUGAGCUAGCAGGCCCAGGGGCAGGUGUUUGGCGCCCAAGCUGCGGUGGAAUUUGCUCUGCAGAGGUGAUUCAGCGUCCAAACUCGUGGAGCCCAGGGUGCUGAGGACACAGGCGGAGCCAGGCUGCCCAGGCAGGUUCCUCCUGGCCCAGGCUUUCAGCAGGAAUGUUCCUCCAGGCACUGUCUGGGGCCUUGGCACCAGAAACCCACCCUGAGGGCAUUCAUAGGCUUGCAGAGGUCACGUGGGUAGGUGGUGCCUGCAGGGCUGGCUCCUGGGCCUGUAGGCCAGCUAUCCCUGCUCCCACUCCCUCUCUGUCCGCUGCAUCCCUCUCACCCAUCACUGUGGGGCUGGCUGGGCCACAAGUGUCCAGCCUGAAAGGAUGAAAAGUUGGGAGAGAAAAAUAAACCUGACAUCUGCUUCUGAGAAUACAGCACCCAAGUAGGAGAGGCCUGUUUGGGUACCUCAGCAGCCUCUGUUCUGUUUUUUGCAGGGACAAGCUGCCAGGCACUAUGGAUCCCAGUGCAGGGUUGGGAGCCUGCAGUGCUGGGCCAGGUCUUCUGAAGUGCUCCACACAGUCUCAGGCAGGUUCAGAGAGAGGCAGAGGCGAGCUGAGUCUGGGGCAUCAUCAUCACUGUGCCACCUGCAGUGGUGAAAGGGAAGGCAAGCUCAGUGCAGGCCUUCCUCCACGCCUUCCUGCACUCUUGGAUCUCAGCCCCUCUUGGGCUAGUGGGCUUCUCCCUAGAGGAUUGUCCUGGCUUCUUCCUCACCCCAGGAGGUCUGGCUGUACCCCAUGUGGGCCAUCUUCACCCGUAGGCAGCCUGUGCUUUGCAGUGGGCUGCUGGGAGAGAAAGCCCAGCCCCGGGAGAACACCCCCCUUCCUACUGCCUGCUGGCUUAGAUAACCACACCUUUAUUAGUGCAGAGAACGUGUGAUCUCAAGUCAGUUAUGGAGGCUGGAAUUUUGAACACUUCAUUGUAUGCAGAUAUUUAUAUGGAACACCUGACAAAAGAAAUUAGAAGCACAUUUUUCUUCUUUAAAUUUUUAAUUGACACAGGAGACUUACUUUAGGGGUACCGUGAUAAUUCUAUACAUACAUAUCACACAUCAAGUCAGGACAAUUAAUUCUUCUGGCUCUGGGAACCUGCGUCAUUUCUGAGCCACUUCUGGAUGGUGGGCCCUUAGGACCAGGGGCUUCUGCCCCUGAGCUCUGUGGCCUCCACCUGCAUGCAGUGUUCCUGAGGGCUGGCUGCUUCCCAGGUGGUGUUUCAUGUCGCUAUCACACAGGAGCCAGACGUUUGCCUGGAGGUGCCAGUGCGAAACUAGAGGUUUUGCUGCUUGACCUUACUUUUUCUAAUGACAAUAACAUUUUGUGUACGAUUUGGAGUUACUGAAGCAGACGUAUGUGCAUUUUCUUUUUUUUUUUUUUUUUUGGUACCAGGGAUUGAAUUCAGGACUUUGUGCUUGCGAGGCAGGCGGUGGAACCACUGAGCUAAAUCUCCUGCCUCGUAUGUGCAUUUCUGUUAUUGUUCCCACAUCCUAGCUGCCUGUGUAAUUCUUAGCCCUGCUAUACUGCUGUAGAAAUGAAGCUCAGAAAUUUAUCCAAGACCAGAAGGUUAGUCAGUGGUUAGGAGUCCCAUUAUGCUGUGUUGACCCAAAACAAACACCUCAGCAGUAGCUGGGGGUCUUCAGAGCUCAAGAUUUAUGCUUUUGCAUUUUUUAAUGUAAAAUAUACGUACAAUUUACCAUCUUCACCAUUUUUAAGUGUGUGAUUUAGUGGCAUUAAGUGCAUUCUUACCGUGUGAACCUUAGCACCUUCCAUCUCCAAAACUUGUCUCUCAAAAACUGUUUCAUUAUGUAUGGAAGAAGAGGCAGUGAAGAUACCGCCUUUGGAGGUGCCCUGUGUCUAAGUUACCUGUAUUGAACACAACAUUUGAGCUCAU